CUGGGAUAAACAGUGUGAAUACAGUAACAAGAUUCCUCUCAGAGAGUUAAUGUAGGAGAGAGUAAGCAAGUAAACUCACCCAGGAGUGUAUCUUUCUAGAGCGGCCAGUACUUUGAUGGAAAAGAGAUGGUUGCAGCAGGAGAGAAUAGCGUGGGAGAGGACUUCACAUUUAAGUGUUCAGGAAAGGCCCUACCAAGGAAGUAACACUCAGGCUGGGACCUGAAGGAUAAGGAGGCAGCCGAGUGAGGGAUGUGUUGCUGAGACUGAAGCAGAAGGAAUGAAGGCUUUGACAUGGGAAAGAGCAGCAUGUUUGAGAAGGGAUAGGUUCUACUUUGCUCAGCUCUGCAGCUGGAAUGGACACCAUUUCUGGCUCCAGAGGUGGAUCCUGACUGGCUGAACCCUUCCCUUGAUGAGGCAACUGCUUCAGGAUGGGCAUCUGGCUCCAUUCAGGCCACGAGGGGAGAAGACUCCUUUAGCCCUGGGUCCUGGGAAGAAGCCUUCCUUUCUCUUUUAUGAGAGGAAACAAGAUGCAGAAAUAGGAGCUGAUCCAGGUGGCUUGGGAAAGUGGGGAGCUUUCUGAAAGUUGAGCCAGCAGCUAAGAGCCACCUCUCUGAAGAUAAAGGAAAACGCAGCUGUGCAGAUGCAUGUGGCCCUCACUGCCACUCUCCUGCUUUUGGUGAGUUCUCUUACCCACACCG